ACAAAUUUAGCUGCAUUUUUACAAAAUUAAUAUUGAAUCAUUCUUUUCUUGUAAAUACUAUUAGUAUCUUAAUUUUUUGUUUCUUGGAGAUCUGACUAUAUAUGGUUAUUUUUAUUAAAAGAUAAGGUGGUGAUUGUAAUGGGUCCAACAGGACGGGUAGAUCUAGCUUUUCCAUGGGUCGUCCUUUGUCAUUCUUUGGAAAAAUAGUACUAAUCGACAAUCUCAUUAUUCGUGACUAUAUCCAAGUCCAUUUUGUACACUUUUGUUUUGUCCAUAUCCAAAACUUCUGCUUGAAAAUAGUUAGCUAGAGCUAUGGAAAGUUUAUAUUUUCCCAUUCCUAUUGCUCCCAUAACCGUCACAGCCUUUUUAUGGGAUCUAAUUUCCAGAGUAUAUUUUCAUAAGAGGCUUUCAUGGGAUCAUUUACUCUAUGGUUAGACUCUAUGGUGCUCGGAGUCGAAUGUAGAUGACUGAUAAAAAUGCGGAUCUAGAGAUCGGAUUCUCUAUGAUGCAAAAUUUUAACAUUCGUGGAUAUAGAUCCAUGUACGGAUAUAGGUUUGGGGAUUCGUUAAUUCAAGUAUUUGUAAAUAGAGUUAUGAAAUCAUAAUUAUGAGAUAUUAUGCGAUUUGAAGUUUAUAGUUUUGGGCAAGAGGACAAUGUUCUCAAAAAAAACCCACAAAGGUUAAGACCCCAAAUUUCACUCUUGACGUUCAUUGGAGCUUCGCCGAAGUUUUCAGGAGCUCAACUAUGUGGUGGUGAAAUAUUGUUUCUCGUCAUCAUACAACUUGUUGAUCCGAAAAAGAAGUCAAAACACAAUUCAACGCUUCGCUACAUAUUAUAAAGAGUGACAACGUUAAAGAAUAUAUGUCAGAACCAUUUCAAUCAUGCAUGAGACAACACGAUAUUAUCCACCAGUCUUCAUGUGUUGAUACACCAUCUCAAAUAGAGUUGCUGAGAGGAAGAAAAAGCAUCUACUUGAUACAACUCGAGCACUUUUGUUCCAAAUGAAGGUUUCUAAACAAUUUUGGGCAGAUGUAGUCUCUACGGCUUGUUUUCUGAUUAAUCGUAUGUCAUCCACGGUUCUUGCUGGUAAUGCUCCUUACAGUGUGCUGUUCCCAAACAAGUCACUAUUUCUAGUAGAACCUAAGGUGUUUGGCAACACUUGUUAUGUUUGAGAUGUUCGACCAUCUGUCACUAAGUUGGAUCCAAAGGCAUUGAAAUGCAUUUUUGGGUUAUUCUCGUCUUCAGAAAGGGUAUCGAUGAUAUUAUGCUGUACUCGAAAAAUAUUUGGUAUCAACUUAUGUGGUAUUUUCAAAGACUA